GACGAACGCUGGCGGCGUGCUUAACACAUGCAAGUCGAACGGUAAGGCCCUUCGGGGUACACGAGUGGCGAACGGGUGAGUAACACGUGGGUGAUCUGCCCUGCACUUCGGGAUAAGCCUGGAAACUGGGUCUAAUACCGGAUAGGACCACUGCCUGCAUGGGUGGGGGUGGAAAGCUUUUGCGGUGUGGGAUGGGCCCGCGGCCUAUCGGCUUGUUGGUGGGGUGAUGGCCUACCAAGGCGACGACGGGUAGCCGGCCUGAGAGGGUGACCGGCCACCCUGGGACUGAGAUACGGCCCAGACUCCUACGGGAGGCAGCAGUGGGGAAUAUUGCACAAUGGGCGCAAGCCUGAUGCAGCGACGCCGCGUGAGGGAUGACGGCCUUCGGGUUGUAAACCUCUUUCAGCACCGACGAAGCGCAAGUGACGGUAGGUGCAGAAGAAGGACCGGCCAACUACGUGCCAGCCGCCGCAGUAA
rnacentral:rRNA from 1 species